GGGGUCUCUUCUUCCACGUUUCUCCGAGGCAUCCUCCAUCGACACCACAGCCCAGGAGGAAAAUGAGAAAGUUCAGGACUGUCUCAGACCAUUCACUCAACUGAUCCUAUCUCCUUCUCAAGAUGUUUCUCAGUCACCUGCCUGGCAGAGGACAACCAGGCAUUUCCUGAGCACAGCAUCAGCUGUGUGUCACGCCUUGUGUAAAAGCUGAAAAUACGACGUUUGUAAGUCACAUUUUCUAAAUUUGCGAAAGGCACAGUUGAUUAGGGA
rnacentral:lncRNA from 1 species